UAACAACACUCGCUUCAGCUCCAACAGAUAACGCAGCCCACGUUAAACACGCUCAGUCUGAGGGGAUAAUAUUACAAACCGGGCAUAAUACCUUUCUGAAGACAUACAGCUCGUUAUUGUAGUUCGGCUUUAAUGUCAGUCAACACCUGCCUCGGAUUACUUUGUUGUCUUUUUAGUUUCUUAUCCUAGCUAGCCCAUUAGCUAAGUCGCUAGCUGUGUAGCAUUAGCUAGCUGCCUGGCGCUGGUUUAAUAACGUUAGAUAGCCUAACUAACAGUGUGUAUGAGACUGACAGCCUGGCUGCCUGAUACUCUAGACGACUGAAGUGAAAAAGAAGAUCGGUGAUGGUGCAGCCACAGCCUGAUGGCCCCAUGCAGUGGGACAUGUCAGGAGAAGAGAGUGGCGGGGCCCUCAGGGUCCCACCAGAGCUUGCAGCCAAUGAAGUGGUGACCAGAUUGCUGAGUGACAACCAACAGCUUAGAGAGGCACUGCGGCGGAGCAACCUGGCCUUGCGUCAGCGCUGUGAGGAGAUGGAGGGAUGGCAACGAAGAACAAGAGAGGAACGAGAGUUUCUCAGCUGCCGUUUCCAGGAGGCAAGGUCCCUGGUGGAGAGGCUGGCCCAGGAGAACCACUCCUUACAGAGCAUGGUGAAUGGGCCAGGCUCCUCCAACUCCUCGUCUAAUCACUGCUGCAGCUCCAGCCAGACUGAAGACCUGCAGGUACGGCCAGCCAGGAACGGACCGGUGGACGGACCACAGACUCUAGAUCAACGAGAGAAGAAGAGAGUUGAAGACACAGAGCAAUACACACAAACAUCACCACCUCGCAGCCUGCCUGUGGAAGGUGCAAACGAGUUCCUGCAGCUGUUGAAGAGCCACAAAGAGAAACUGGAGGAAGGGGUGAGAGAGCUGAGGAAGAAGAAUGAAGAGCUAGAGAGGCAGAGGGACGAGGGAGAGAAAGAGAAAGAGCGAAUGCUUCACUGCAUUGAGCAGCUCCGGGCUAAACUGGCCCAGGCACAGACGAACAAUGUAACCGAGGAUGUUGUUCAGCAGCGCUCUGAGGCGCAGCAUUCCUCCGACUGCUCUAGCCUGGCUAAGCUCACAGAGCAGCUUCAGGCCACACAGGGCAGGUAUCGGGAGCUGGAGGAGAAGCUCGAUUACCUGCAGAAGAGCUCAGCUCAGCGGGACAGAACUGAAGCUCUGCUCAAACAGAAGGACAAGGACUGUGCCCAGCUGGCCAAGGACUGCGAGGCCCUGAAAGCUCAGGCAACGUCCCUGUUAGGAGAACUGAAGGAGAGACAGAGCUGGCUGGACAAAAGUGAGCAUGAACGCAAACUCAUUGAAGAAAAGCUGUGCAGUAAGACAAAGGCCCUGCAGGUGGCAGAGCGGGAGCUGGAGCAGCAGAAGAAGCAGCAUAAUGUGGCCAUGGACAAGCUGCUGCUGCAGACCCAGAGCCUGGAGCAGGCUCUGAAGACAGAGAGACAUGUUGUUACUGAGGAGAAGAAAAAGCUGACACAGCUGCAGCAUGCCUACACAUGUCUCUUUAGAGACUAUGAUUCUAAACUGAAGAAUGAGGGAGGAGAUCUGUGCAGCCGACUGGAGGAGGCAGAGCGAGCGCUGGCCUUGAAACAGGACCUGAUUGAUAAACUGAAGGAGGAGGUGGAGCAGCAGAAAGGCUCCCUGGAGACAAUUCCCGUCCUCACUGCACAGGCUGAGAUCUACAAGGCAGAUUUCCUCGCUGAGCGAGAAGCCAGAGAGAAGCUGAACCAGAAGAAGGAGGAGCUGCAGGAGCAGCUGAAUCAGGCCGUGGCUGACAACGAAAGGCUUAAACAGGACGCAGCAUCACGUGCACGUAUUGAGCAAAUGAAGAUGAGACACCUGGAAGACUUCCCUGCACGGCCCACACACAUUCCCCCUCCACAAGGUAUGUUCCCCCCUUUCAACACGGUGCCCCCCGCCCCCUCAUUCCGCACUCCAGGAUUGGGACCAGUCGGUGAUCAAGGGCCAGCUGGAACAGAGGAGCUGCCAGAUUUAUGUUGUCCUAAGUGCCAGUACCUGGCUCCAGAUAUGGACACACUGCAGAUACAUGUAAUGGACUGUAUACAGUAACAGAAGCAUUGCUCUGUGUAUCAUGACACCAACACACACAUACAUAUGCAAUAUAUAUAUAUAUAUAAUGUGUAUGUAUAGUAUAUUUAGGUUCAGUGUGUCCUCUUCCAGCUCUGGGCACAGACUGGAAAAACAUGUUUGGAUAGUUGCACCUUACUUUCGCUUUCUCUGUCUUGCAAACACACAUCCACAAACCUGAACACAAAGUCUGGAUCUUUCUGUUUUAACAGUCCAGUAUGUUGGAAUCAAGACAGUUCAUACCAAGGGAAUCAGAUGACAGUAUAAAACAAGUGAAAGAAAAACAAGAUAACCAGGAUGAUGUUUCCCUAUAGUUCCUCUGUGGAUGCAGUCUCUGCUGUAGCUUUUCCAUUCCCACACCCUUUUUUUUCCCACCCAGUACCUUCUUUUUUGUUUUUAAUGCCUGCUUUCCUCUGAGACAGCACUUUGAGGCAAAUGUCCGUCAGUAUUUUUACAUGAUCCCUGAUCCCUUAUCUCCCAUUUCCUUGCUUCUUUACUCCAGUGUUGUAGUGGUGACUGAAGAGUACACUAAAUGCUGUGAAGUAAAUGUUUAUACUUUUAAUUGCACCAAUACAAUUCGUUUUAUCAGUCCAACAGAUCAGUAAUUAUUGGACCCAAGGUGUUGGCAUGUUAAAGAAAAAUAAAUAACAGUUCAGACAAGAAAAUAAAUGAUCAUGUGAAUAACAUAUUGAGCUUUAAAAUCAGCUAUGUUAUGGUUGUAAAUGUAGCUGUCUGUAUUACCUCAAAACAUAUAAUGUAUUAGAGAUGGAUUUACUCUCGUUGAAAAAAAAGUAGCCACUCUCUGUGUUCUGUGCCUGUGUACAUGACUGACUGCUUUCAUCCACAUGCUAGACCCAGCGCUCAACCCAGCAGCCCUUUUGUGACCCUUCUUCUUCUGUCUUAGCUUUGCCUGUUGCACCUAUUUAUCUAUCUAAAUGUAAAGUUCCUUCGCAGUUCGUGUGGAUUUUGUCUAAGUUUAGAACAUAUAUUUAGCUUCAAACUAUUAGGAGAUUUACAAAAUAAAUCAGUUAUCCAUUA